UGAUACGGCGGAGGAGAUUCGUUAAGGCGUUCUGCGACAACGUCGCCGUGGAUCUUCCGGCGAACAGUAAAUCCGGGAAGAUGAGCGGUCCGGCAAAGGAGUGCAAGGUUUAUUGAAGAAGUUUCAGAUUUGGAUGAUGAAAUGGGGAUGAUCAGCUUGAUAUGGAUACUGAAUAUGGUCAUGCUUUUGGGUGUUCCACAAAAAGUUUGGUGUUUUGGGUAAUUGUCAUAUGAAUGGAAUGUGGGCUCUGGAUGGGGCAAAGAUGCGAGCUUUGGGAUGAGAGUUGGACGUUAGAAUGUUGGGUCAUUGCUAUGAAGUUAUAUAGGUAUCGGAAAUAACUCUAUUAUGUA